rnacentral:rRNA from 1 species
CCUACGGGAGGCUGCAGUGGGGAAUAUUGGACAAUGGGCGAAAGCCUGAUCCAGCCAUGCCGCGUGUGUGAAGAAGGCCUUCGGGUUGUAAAGCACUUUCAGUGGGGAAGAAAGCCUUGGGGCUAAUACCCUCGAGGAAGGACAUCACCCACAGAAGAAGCACCGGCUAACUCCGUGCCAGCAGCCGCGGUAAUACGGAGGGUGCGAGCGUUAAUCGGAAUUACUGGGCGUAAAGCGCGCGUAGGCGGUCUGAUAAGCCGGUUGUGAAAGCCCCGGGCUCAACCUGGGAACGGCAUCCGGAACUGUCAGGCUAGAGUGCAGGAGAGGAAGGUAGAAUUCCCGGUGUAGCGGUGAAAUGCGUAGAGAUCGGGAGGAAUACCAGUGGCGAAGGCGGCCUUCUGGACCGACACUGACGCUGAGGUGCGAAAGCGUGGGUAGCAAACAGGAUUAGAUACCCUAGUAGUC